GGUGUUGUGGCUCAGUGGUAGAGCACUUGCCUAGUGUAUGUGAGGCACUAGGUUCAAUUCUCAGCACCA
rnacentral:tRNA from 1 species